AGGGCAUGUACCUUGGUUGCAGGCUCCUCCCUGGCCCGGGCCCUGGUCAGGGCUAAUACAGGACGUAACUAAUUGAUGGGUUUCUCUCAUAUCGGUACUUCUCUGUCUUUCCUUCUCUCUUCCACUCUCU